AGUACAUAUCAAACGGGACAGUGGCAGAUCAUCUGCAUGGAAAUCGGGCCAAAUCUGGUUUACUCUCUUGGCCUGUCCGAAUGAACAUAGCCAUUGAGACUGCUGAUGCUCAGGCUUAUCUCCACUCCUCAAUUAUAAUACGCCGUGAUGUCAAAACCAACAACAUUCUAUUAGACAAUGAUUUCCAUGUGAAAGUUUCUGAUUUUGGGCUAUCAAGAUUGUUCCCAAAUAAUGUCACACGUCUCUACUGCUCCACAGGUUCACACAUACUGGCAAGGAGGAGGAGCUAUCAUAUGUUUUGUGUUGUGGAUUACGGGACAAUGUAAACUUGCCGCAUUAUAUCUUUGAUGCAUAGAGAUUUUGUUUUAGUUUGACACGGAUAAAGAAUGCAUCAAAAGAACCAGAAUUGGUGUACCAUAUUGUCAAGGGGACUUUUGAGAGAGUGGUGUUCAGCCCGAAUAUGUGUGCUAAAGCUUAGACACUGACGUUGAACCUCUUCUAGUAUGUUUCCAGCUCAGAACUUGAUUUGAUUUCUUGUAUAUAAUAUGUUCUCUCCUAACUUGGAUCUUGAAAACUCUAAUCAAUAUAAAAUCUGCUUUAGAAAUUUGAAAGGGUGACCGCUGCCUACUGGGAUUGUUUUCGACUUUAGAUAUCAGUACUCUCUUAUCUUCAAGUGAAUUUAAAGUUAAAGGUUAAUGAAUGGUGUGGUGAAUUGAAAAAGAAUCAGAUAGAAGAAUGACAUCAGCUAUUGAGAAAAUGUCGGAAAAGGCAGGGUCCAGCGCCGAGGAAAUGCCAAGUUUUUUUGGCAGAAUGCGGAAACAAGAGUCUUAUACUAGUAGUUGCUCAUCGUGACUUGUUUCUAUCGCUUUAGGCAUGGAAGGCGACUGAUUGCUCUGCGCAUUGUUUGUUGUGAAUAUAACAUGGAGUGAUUGUGCUGGUCCAUUACUUUCCCAUCAUUGCUCUUUACCUUAAAUUUCCCUUUCCCUUACUUUCUCUUUUUUCUUUCUUUGCUUUUACUGUCUCUGCGCAAAUCUUUCUAUAUUCCCGU